AACGCGAAGUAACCUUACCAACCUUUGACAUGCCUCGUAUGGUCGCUGGAGACAGCUUCCUUCCCGCAAGGGGCGAGAGCACAGGUGCUGCAUGGCUGUCGUCAGCUCGUGUCGUGAGAUGUUGGGUUAAGUCCCGCAACGAGCGCAACCCUCGCCCUUAGUUGCCAUCAUUUAGUUGGGCACUCUAAGGGGACUGCCGGUGAUAAGCCGCGAGGAAGGUGGGGAUGACGUCAAGUCCUCAUGGCCCUUACAGGUUGGGCUACACACGUGCUACAAUGGCGGUGACAGUGGGAUGCAAUGGAGUAAUCCUGCGCAAAUCUCAAAAAGCCGUCUCAGUUCGGAUUGUGCUCUGCAACUCGAGCACAUGAAGUUGGAAUCGCUAGUAAUCGCAGAUCAGCACGCUGCGGUGAAUACGUUCCCGGGUCUUGUACACACCG
rnacentral:rRNA from 1 species